GGUCCUAUUAUUUGCAAUCAGUAACAAAGAUUCAUCCUUGUGUCAAUCAUACAACACGGAGAGUCUUUGUCACUUAGUGUAAUUAAUAGCCUUCGCC
ensembl:miRNA Mir802 microRNA 802